GGAAGAGAGCGGGGUCCGGACUGACGGCGGGGAGCCUGUGUCUGAAAUCCAGGAGUUCCACGGAGUUCUGACCACGAUGGAAAGGAUAGAUGAGACACCAUAACAGAUAAGGUCGAAGAGUUCCAGUCCUUUCUGCAGUCCCUUCACUCUCAAAUUCAACUUCUGUGUGCUUUAGAUGUUUUAUUUAAUUCGGAGGGCAACUCUGCAGGGCUGGGCUUCCGUUGAUGAACAGCGGAAUGAACAGCGGGAUGAACAGAGGGAUGAACAGCGGGAUGAACAGAGGGAUGAACAGCGGAAUGAACAGCGGGAUGAACAGCGGGAUGAACAGCGGGAUGAGCAGAGAGAUGAACAGUGGGAUGAACAGCGGGAUGAACAGCGGGAUGAACAGCGGGAUGAACAGCGGGAUGAACAGCGGGAUGAACAGAGGGAUGAACAGUGGGAUGAACAACAGGAUGAACAGUGGGAUGAAUAACAGGAUGAACAGUGGGAUGAACAACAGGAUGAACAGUGGGAUGAAUAACAGGAUGAACAGCGGGAUGAACAGGGUGACUUUACCCACUGAACCCUCUACACUGUGUGUACUU